CCGAAAGGCGUAGUCGAUGGGAAUGCAGUUAAUAUUCUGCAGCCUGGUGGUAGUGACGGAUCUCGUAAAUUGUACAUCCUUAUUGGAUUGGGUGUGCAGUGAAGAGGUUCCAGGAAAUAGCUCCACCGUAUAGACCGUACCCCAAACCGACACAGGUGGUCAGGUAGAGAAUACCAAGGCGCUUGAGAGAACUCGGGUGAAGGAACUAGGCAAAAUGGUACCGUAACUUCGGGAGAAGGUACGCCCCUGUCUGUGAACACUUUACGUGGUAAGCAAAUGGAGGCCGCAGUGACCAGGUGGCUGGGACUGUUUAUUAAAAACACAGCACUCUGCAAACUCGUAAGAGGACGUAUAGGGUGUGACACCUGCCCGGUGCCGGAAGGUUAAUUGAUGGGGUUAGCGUAA
rnacentral:rRNA from 1 species